UGAGCAAUCUGCCCUUCUCAUCGGAAUAAGCGUUGGAAACGACGUCUAAUGCCGAAUACGACCUCCUUUCGCAUGAUCGGAGGUGGAAAGCUCCGGCGGAGAAGGAUGAGCUCGCGGCCUAUCAGCUAGUUGGUGUGGGUAAUGGCCCACCAAGGCGACGACGGUAGCCGGCCUGAGAGGGUGACCGGCCACACGUGGGACUGAGACACGGCCAGACUCCGUACGGGAGCAGG
rnacentral:rRNA from 1 species